rnacentral:rRNA from 1 species
GACAAACGCUGGCGGCGUGUAUUAGGCAUGCAAGUCGAACGGACACUUCGGUGUCAGUGGCGGACGGGUGAGUAACACGUGGGUAACCUGCCCUUGAGUGGGGAAUAGCCAGCCGAAAGGCUGAUUAAUACCGCAUUCGACUCCCGGUGAGAAUCCGGGUAGUGAAAGCAUUUAUGCGCUCGAGGAGGGGCCCGCGGCCGAUUAGCUUGUUGGUGGGGUAAUGGCCUACCAAGGCGACGANCGGUAGCUGGUCUGAGAGGAUGGUCAGCCACACGGGGACUGAGAUACGGCCCCG